rnacentral:tRNA from 1 species
AGCUCUGAGGUGUUUUACAUAUUAGAUUGCAAAUCUAAAGAAGCGGGUUAACGCCUGCCGGGGCUU